GACGAACCGUGCGAACGUUGUUCGGAAUCACUGGCUUAAAGGGCGCGUAGACGGGUGACCAAGUCAGGGGUGAAAUCUUUCGGCCCAACCGGAAAAGUGCCUCUGAUACUGGUCGUCUUGAGGGAGGUAGGGGUCGAGGGAACUGGUGGUGGAGCGGUGAAAUGCGUAGAUAUCACUAGGAACGCCGGUGGCGAAAGCGCUCGACUGGACCUCUUCUGACGCUGAGGCGCGAAAGCCAGGGGAGCAAACGGG
rnacentral:rRNA from 1 species